rnacentral:rRNA from 1 species
UACGGAGGGGGCUAGCGUUGUUCGGAAUUACUGGGCGUAAAGCGCGCGCAGGCGGCUAUCCAAGUCAGUGGUGAAAGCCCGGAGCUCAACUCCGGAACUGCCAUUGAAACUGUUUAGCUUGAGGACGAGAGAGGUGAGUGGAAUUCCCAGUGUAGAGGUGAAAUUCGUAGAUAUUGGGAAGAACACCGGUGGCGAAGGCGGCUCACUGGCCCGAUACUGACGCUGAGGUGCGAAAGC